rnacentral:tRNA from 1 species
UCCUUUAUAGUUUAUAAAAAACACUAAUCUUGUAAAUUGGAGAAGGAUAAACGAGAUUCCUAAAGGAA